rnacentral:rRNA from 1 species
CCUACGGGAGACAGCAGUGGGGAAUAUUGGGCAAUGGGCGCAAGCCUGACCCAGCAAUGCCGCGUGAAGGAAGAAGGCUUUCGGGUUGUAAACUUCUUUGACAGGGGAAGAGCAGAAGACGGUACCCUGAAAACAAGCCACGGCUAACUACGUGACAGCAGCCGCGGUAAUACGGAGGUGGCAAGCGUUGUCCGGAUUUACUGGGUGUAAAGGGCGUGUAGCCGGGAAGGAAAGUCAGAUGUGAAAUCUGGAGGCUCAACCUCCAAAUUGCAUUUGAAACUGUUUUUCUUGAGUACUGGAGAGGCAGACGGAAUUCCUUGUGUAGCGGUGAAAUGCGUAGAUAUAAGGAGGAACACCAGUGGCGAAGGCGGUCUGCUGGACAGCAACUGACGGUGAGGCGCGAAAGCGUGGGGAGCAAACAGGAUUAGAUACCCGUGUAGUC